rnacentral:rRNA from 1 species
CUUUUUAUGAGAGUUUGAUCCUGGCUCAGGAUGAACGCUGGCGGCGUGCUUAACACAUGCAAGUCGAACGAAGCAUUUGCGACAGAUUUCUUCGGAUUGAAGUUGC